rnacentral:rRNA from 1 species
GAUGAACGCUGGCGGCGUGCCUAAUACAUGCAAGUCGAGCGAACGGACGAGAAGCUUGCUUUUCUGAUGUUAGCGGCGGACGGGUGAGUAACACGUGGAUAACCUACCUAUAAGACUGGGAUAACUUCGGGAAACCGGAGCUAAUACCGGAUAAUAUUUUGAACCGCAUGGUUCAAAAGUGAAAGACGGUCUUGCUGUCACUUAUAGAUGGAUCCGCGCUGCAUUAGCUAGUUGGUAAGGUAACGGCUUACCAAGGCAACGAUACAUAGCCGACCUGAGAGGGUGAUCGGCCACACUGGAACUGAGACACGGUCCAGACUCCUACGGGGGGCAGCAGUAGGGAAUCUUCCGCAAUGGGCGAAAGCCUGACGGAGCAACGCCGCGUGAGUGAUGAAGGUCUUCGGAUCGUAAAACUCUGUUAUUAGGGAAGAACAUAUGUGUAAGUAACUGUGCACAUCUUGACGGUACCUAAUCAGAAAGCCACGGCUAACUACGUG